GGGAGGAGCUGUCUCAAACACAUGUGCUGCGUUUGCAUGCAGCAGCAGGAAGGGGAGACAAUAUCGAUCCGGCAUUUGCAGUCAGCAAAUUCGUGCAGGGCGUUAUCUUAUCAUUUUCACACAACAGCAAAACCUUCCUUUCAACGAGCAUGACAUCCUUUCAUUGUUAGUUAAUAAACAAAAACACCGAGCCUCUCUGUUAUCUUUAUCAACAGAGUGUCUGGUCAGCGCAGAUCAGUGGAUGGACACUACACUUCCUGGUCAGCUAGGGAGCCGAGCAGGAAACCUCCCUGUUAUCUCAAUAAACCACUGACCAUCGCCGCUCAGUGCGCCACACACCAGGCCAUUGUUAGUUAGCAGAACAGGAAAGCGUUUCAACUUAUCUGAAUAAGACACUGCUCCGCGCAGGUCGGGGUAUCCGGGCCUCGGUAAAACUUAGUAUACCGCUGGAAGUCACGACUCUCUCGGUAAAUGCAUCCUCUCAGUACCAGAAAUGUAUAAAGAUGCUCAUUCGGUGCAAGGUAGUCAUCACUCGAGAUCAUGCCAGAAACCUCUUCAGCUUCGCUCCUCACUAACGCUCAGAUCCAUCCCGAGGGUCAGAACGCAAGCUCCAACCCACAACAUGGCAUACGCUUCUUUGGUAAGUUCUAAUGAAUAUAUUCUAACGAUGUUUUAAGUUAUACGUUGAAUAUACGGUGGGGGAAUCCCCCCUAUGACGCCACUGAUCAUGUGAUACCGUAGUAAUGUCACUUGGGGAAUCCCCCCUUACGCUUUUCGGCUGUGUAACAAUAUAUGUUUAAUUAUUUUUCAGACCUCACAGGUGUGGAGCAAGAAAAUGUACUUUUAACACCGUUCAACUACGGUAGGAUUUACUUUCAUAAAGAUAAAGUAUCUAAAGUAUUUAAAGAUACUAAUACGUUGUUUUAACCAUUUUAUUUUUAUUCUUUUAGUUUUUUUGAUGGGAACGUUCUAAAAGGUGAGGAAACACUGAGCUAGCAAUAUUAUCCUUGUAAUGAAUAGCUUAUGAAAAAUAAGUGGUUUGUGUGUUCUUUCUGUGGGGUUCCUUGUUUGGUUCCUCAGAAGAACUUGAAGUGAAGCACACCUCCCUCAGUCCGGGCUAUUUCUACCACAAAAUCCAAGAAUCAAACCCUUCCCAUGAUUACUGGCUCUUCUACAACCUAAUCCACGGCAAAAUAUUUACUAAUGUUUAUUGGAGUAAUCAUUUUUCUUAAAUCAUGAUUUUAUUCUUGUGUUUUUGCCCCCAAAAAACAGCAAGCGGUCUAACCCAGACAGAAGGCUACAAGGAGAUCUGCAAUAAGGAAAAGUAUCCUAUUCAGCACACUGUGAAAAGGACAAAGACAUUUAUGUGUGAAAUGUUUGUCUCCCCUUUUAAGAUAAUUUCAAGGCUCACAAUCAGUAUAAAAUUAACCAUUGUAAAAAUGAAAAAUGAUUGAACUUUUUGGUGCUUA